GUUUUGUUGUGCCAGCUGUCAGCUCUAGUUUGUAGUGUGGUUUUCUUGUACUAGUUAGGGUUAGGGUUAUUAUUAUUAUUAAAUACCUUUACCAGACAUAAUAAUAGCAGCAACCAAGGCCUGUAAGGCUUCUGAGCUGAAUCCAGCCUUGCUCUUCAAUUUUGUCAAGGAACCUUCCAUGCAAUGUUUUGUUGUGCCAGCUGUCAGCUCUAGUUUGUAGUGUGGUUUUCUUGUACUAGUUAGGGUUAGGGUUAUUAUUAUUAUUAAAUACCUUUACCAGACAUAAUAAUAGCAGCAACCAAGGCCUGUAAGGCUUCUGAGCUGAAUCCAGCCUUGCUCUUCAAUUUUGUCAAGGAACUUUCCAUGCAAUGUUUUGUUGUGCCAGCUGUCAGCUCUAGUUUGUAGUGCGGUUUUCUUGUACUAGUUAGGGUUAGGGUUAUUAUUAUUACCAAGGCUUGUAAGGCUUCAGAUCUGAAUCCAGCCUUGCUCAGCCACCCAUUUCUCUGUGUGUGCUUCUUUCCCUGCGCAUUAUCCUCCCUCCCUCCCUCCUCCUCUCUUCCUCCGCCUCCUCCUUUCUUUCUCUCUCUCUCUCUCUCUCUCUCAUUCUCUUCCACAGCAGAAGAAGAAGAAGAAGGACCUCUGCCCGGCGGAGAUGACAUCACCUUUCCAAACCCUGAAAUGACGCAGGUGUCUAUUUUUAAGGGUCCAAUCCGGAGGGCCUGGGGGUCACGUGGUCCUGGAAGAGAGAGGGGGGGUCUAAGGGGGGAGGAAGAGGAGGAGGAGGAAGAGGAAGGUUACACGGCGCAUCCAAGGAGCCAACCAGGCGCAAAGGAAAAAAAAAGGCUGGAUCCCAUGGGAAAGGGCCGGACCGGAGGAAACGGAGUUGACGCCGACGGAUUCGACGCCUACCACGUCUCCGUCGCCGGCAUGGUUCCCGCAGGCCAGACGUCGCCGGCGUCCGGCUCCGGACCGGAUUGAACCCGAACCAGGCCCAUGGAUCGGCCGCUUGGCACCGCACCAAAGUAGCCCAGGCUCCGGCUCAUCCUCUUCCAGAUUUGUUUUCCGACCAAGGGCAUCUGCUCCACUUUGGACACCGUUUCUAUUUUAUUACGGCAAGGUCGGCUUCUUCGUCCCAGGGCGAAACCGGUCACAUCGGUCACUCGCUCGAUCCGUUCAUCUCCGUUGCCAUCCUUGAGCGAAUUAUCCCAUUUUGGGUAAUUUCCCGGUCAUUUCCCGGCCUCCGUCUAGACUUGUCCGAAGAGACUGCUGGACGUGAGCCACACAUUUUGCUCCCUUUUAUCGGAUGAAUCCCCAAUUAUUUUGGCAACAGAAGUGACACCUGUCCAGGAGACAUCGGGCUCAACUGGACACUCACCUGGGUUGACAUUGGACUCAACUGGUCACUCACCUGGGUCAACACCUUUCCAGGAAACAUUGGACUCAACUGGUCACUCACUUAGGUUGACUUUGGACUCAACUGGUCACUCACCUGGAUCGACACCUUUCCAGGAGACGUUGGACUCAACUGGACACUCACCUAGAUUGACACCUUUCCAGGAGACAUUGAACUCAACUGGUCUCUCACCUUAGGCCAACACCUUUCCAGGAGACGUUGGACUCAACCGGUCACUCACUUAGGUUGACUUGGACUCAACUAGUCACUCACCUGAGUCAACACCUUUCCAGGAGUCAUCGGACUCAACCGGUCACUCACCUGGGUUUGACACCUUUCCAGGAGACGUCAGACUCAAUUGGUCACUCACCUGGGUUUGACACCUUUCCAGUAGACGUUGGACUCAACUGGUCACUCACCUAGAUUGACACCUUUCCAGUAGACGUUGGACUCAACUGGUCACUCACCUGGGUCAACACUGUUCCAGGAGACGUUGGACUCAACCGCACUCACUUGGGUUGACGUUGGACUCAACUAGUCACUUACCUGAGUCAACAUCUUUCCAGGAGACGCUGGACUCACCUGGGCCAGAAGCAACCAUCUCCAUGCUGUGUCAUCCUUGAAGGAAUUAUAUAUUUUUGGGUAAUUUCCCGGCUUCCAUCUAGACUUGUCCAAAUAGACGACCAACUGCUGGAUGUGAGCUAUCCAUUUUGCUCUUGUUUUGGGAUCGGUACCCUUUUUAUUUUGGCAACAGAUGUGAUACCGUUCCAGGAGACGUUGGACUCAACUGUACACUCACCUGAGUCGACACCUUUCCAUGAGACAUUGGACUCAACUGGUCACUCACCUGGGUCAACACCUUUCCAGGAGACGUUGGACUCAACUGGGUUUGACACCUUUCCAAGAGACGUUGGACUCAACUGGUCACUCACCUGGAUCAACACCUUUCCAGGAGACGUUGGACUCAACCACACUCACCUGGGUUGACGUUGGACUCAACUGGUCACUCACCUGGGUCAACACCUUUCCAGGAGACGUUGGACUCAACUGGGUUUGACACCUUUCCAAGAGACUUUGGACUCAACUGGUCACUCACCUGGAUCGACACCUUUCCAGGAGACGUUGGACUCAACUGGUCACUCACCUGGGUCAACACCUUUCCAGGAGACAUUGGACUCAACUGGGUUUGACAUCAUUCCAGGAGACGUUGGACUCAACUGGUCACUCACCUGGGUCAACACCUUUCCAGGAGACGUUGGACUCAACUGGGUUUGACAUCAUUCCAGGAGACGUUGGACUCAACCGGUCACUCACCUGGGUCAACACCUUUCCAGGAGACAUUGGACUCAACUGGGUUUGACAUCAUUCCAGGAGACGUUGGACUCAACUGGUCACUCACCGGGGUCGACACCUUUCCAGGAGACGUUGGACUCGGCCAGAAGCAGCCAUCUCCAUGCUGUGUCAUCCUUGAAGGAUCUGCCCUGUUUUGGGUCUUCUCAAUGUCUUUCUAGACCUCUCCAAAUAAGCAACUGACCUGGACGUGAGCCACGGUUGUGCCGCCCCAAUCCCUGACCCCAACUCUUUGUCCCAAGAGGAACUCGGACACUCGAUGGCCCAACCAGGCCCUGGACCUUGCUAUGGGGAAGCCUAAAGAGUGGCCGGAAUAUUAGGCCGGACGUCUCGCCUUUCCUUGGCCCCCGUCCUCCUCCUCCUUCUCUUCCCGGGUGCGUCUGAGGUCACUGGUGCCCACCAUGGAGACCAAGAUCCCUCCGGCGGUGACCCCGACCAGCCCGUCCUCGCCAGGCCUCUCGCCGGUGCCGCCGCCGGACAAAGUGGACGGCUUCUCCCGCCGGUCUCUUCGCCGGUCCCGCCAGCGCCGGUCCCACAGUUCUUCCCAGUUCCGGUACCAGAGCAACCAGCAGGAGCUGACGCCACUGCCUUUGCUGAAAGGUAAGCCUUCCCCAUAGAAUCCUACCAUUGGAAGGGACCCCAAAGACCAUCCAGUCUGACCCUCUUCGAUAAAUAGAUAUUUUUAUCAUGUGGUGUGAGAGAAUUGGCCGUCUACAAGGACGUUGCCCAAAGGACACCCAGAUGUGUUACCAUCCUACUGGGGAAGCUUCUUUCAUGUCCCGGCAUGGGAAGCUGUAGCUGACAGGUGGGAGCUCAUCCCAUCUUCGCGGAUUCGAACCGCCAACCUUCAGCAGCACAAGGGUUUAACACAGUGAUUCCCAAUCUUAUUUUGACCAGAGACCAGGGACCACUUUGACCAAGGACCACCUUCCAAUGUACCGUAUAUACUCGAGUAUAAGUCGACCCGAAUAUAAGCCGAGGCACCUAAUUUUACCACAAAAAAACCUGGGAAAACGUUGACUCCAGUAUAAGCCGAGGGUGGUAAAUUUCAGAAAUAAAAAUAGAUACCCAUAACCGUAUAUACUCAAGUAUAAGCCGACCCGAAUAUAAGCCAAGGCACCUAAUUUUACCACAAAAAAACCUGGGAAAAUGUUGACUCCAGUAUAAGCCAAGAGUGGUAAAUUUCAGAAAUAAAAAUAGAUACCCGUAACCGUAUAUACUCAAGUAUAAGCCGACCCGAAUAUAAGCCGAGGCAUCUAAUUUUACCACAAAAAACUGGGAAAACAUUAACUCCAGUAUAAGCCAAGAGUGGUAAAUUUCAGAAAUAAAAAUAGAUACCAAUAAAAUUACAUUAAUUGAGGCAUCCGUAGGUUAAAUGUUUUUGAAUAUUUACAUCAAGCUCAAAUUUAAGAUAAGACUGUCCAACUCUGAUUAAAUCAUUAUUCCCAUCUUCUUCAAUGUAAAUGUGCUGACGUAUCCUUUUAAUAAUAAAUAAAUAAAAUUAAAUAUUAAAUGCAAUAAUAAUAAUUGAGUGGAAUAAUAAAUGUAAUAGUAAGUAUAAUAAGAGCGUAAAAUAAUACAUGUAAUCAGUUUAAUAGAGUAAAAUAAUAAAUGUAAUAAUAACAAUAAUAAAUACAGGAAAAGAAUACAUGUAAUAAUAAAUAGAGUAAAAUAAUAAAUGUAAUAAUAAUAUCAAAGUGAAAUAAGAAAUGUAUUAAUAAUAAUAAAAAAUAGAGUAAAAGAAAUGUAAUAAUUCCAAUAAUAAUAGAGAAAAAUAAUAAAUGUACCAUAUAUUCUUGAGUAUAAGCUGACCCAAAUAUAAGCCAACCAGGACCCUCACCUGAGUAUAAGCCGAAGGGGGCUUUUUCAGUCCUAAAAAAAGGGCUGAAAAACUAGGCUUAUACUCGAGUAUAUACAGUAAUAAUAAUACAGUAGAGUCUCAAUUAUCUACUGGGGUUAACCUGGUAUGAUGGGAGUUGUAGUUCAUCCCCAAGUCAUACAUUUUGGACAAUUAAAAUUGACUUUUUCAAAUAUCACGAGCAACGCCGGGGACCCAAGCUAGUAUAAAUAUAAAAGUCAAAGUAUGUAUGUUGGUUGGUCUGUUUAUACAUAUUAUUAUUAUUAAUAAUAAUAUUAUUAUUAUUAAUAAUAAUAAUAAUAAUAAUAAUAAUAAUAAUAAUAAUAAUACAGUAGAGUCUUACUUAUCCAAGACUCGCUUAUCCAACGUUCUGGAUUAUCCAAGGCAUUUUUGUAGUCAAUGUUUUCAAUACAUCGUGAUAUUUUGGUGCUAAAUUCGUAAAUACAGUAAUUACUACAUAGCAUUACUGCGUAUUAAACUACUUUUUCUGUCAGAUUUGUUUUAUAACAUGAUGUUUUGGUGCUUAAUUUGUAAAAUCAUAACCUAAUUUGAUGUUGAAUAGGCUUUUCCUUGAUCCCUCCUUAUUAUCCAACAUAUUCGCUUAUCCAACGUUCUGCCAACCCGUUUAUGUUGGAUAAGUGAGACUCUACUGUAUGUGUUUUAGGUGGGAGCUCACCCCGUCUUGCGCAGAUUCGAACCGCCAACCUUUAGGUCAGCAGUUGAGCCGGCACAAGGGUUGAACACAGUGAUUCCAACCUUAUUUUGACCAGGGACCACUUUGACCAAGGACCACUCUCCAA
rnacentral:lncRNA from 11 species